rnacentral:rRNA from 1 species
UACGAAGGGGGCUAGCGUUGCUCGGAAUUACUGGGCGUAAAGCGCACGUAGGCGGAUUGUUAAGUCGGGGGUGAAAUCCUGGAGCUCAACUCCAGAACUGCCUUCGAUACUGGCGAUCUCGAGUCCGGGAGAGGUGAGUGGAACUGCGAGUGUAGAGGUGAAAUUCGUAGAUAUUCGCAAGAACACCAGUGGCGAAGGCGGCUCACUGGCCCGGUACUGACGCUGAGGUGCGAAAGCGUGGGGAGCAAACAGGAUUAGAUACCCCGUGUAGCUCA